rnacentral:sRNA from 1 species
UCAAUCUAUAACGACAGAAAAUACAUAUUAAACGAUACUAUUUGU